UACAGAGGUCUCGAGCGUUGUUCGGAUUCAUUGGGCGUAAAGGGUGCGUAGGUGGCGCUGUAAGUCGGGUGUGAAAUCCUGAGGCUUAACCUCGGAACUGCAUUCGAUACUGCGGCGCUUGAGGACUGGAGAGGAGACUGGAAUUUACGGUGUAGCAGUGAAAUGCGUAGAUAUCGUAAGGAACGCCAGUGGCGAAAGCGAAUCUCUGGGCAGCAACUGACGCUGAGGCACGAAGGCCAGGGGAGCAAACGGGG
rnacentral:rRNA from 1 species